UCCGGUUUGUCACCGGCAGUCUCCCUAGAGUUCCCGCCAUUACGCGCUGGCAACUAGGGACAAGGGUUGCGCUCGUUGCGGGACUUAACCCAACAUCUCACGACACGAGCUGACGACAGCCAUGCAGCACCUGUGUUCCGAUUCCCGAAGGCACCCCCGCAUCUCUGCAGGGUUCCGGACAUGUCAAGGGCAGGUAAGGAUGACGUCAAGGUACGGAC
rnacentral:misc_RNA from 1 species